AAUUGUGAUGAGAUGUAUAUCGGACAAACAUCCCAACAACUAAAAAGAAGAAUAACCCAAUUAGACUUGGCAAGAUUUGAAAAAGGGAGCAGAAGCCAAGGAUGCCGCUAUAAGGAAACAUUCAAGACAGACAGGAGGGGGUCCACCUACAUCAAUUCAGUUGACAGAAGUAGAAAACGAGGUGCUUCAAUUGAUCCCGGAUGUCCAGAAAAGAGGGGUGGAUUAUGAAGUUGAAGAGAUAUUUGACUUCAAUGAAGACAUUAAUGUUGUUCAUCCCCUGUCAGAAGGAACAAUAGAUAUAUCCACGUCGACAGAAGAGGUGGUCGCAGAGGAACAUGUAAAGUAGUAGAUUUUUUAACAUCUACCAUGUUACUGUAAUAAGUGCAAUACAAAUUCUGAAUAAGAGAAACUCUUUACUUUAUUUUAUAAGGCUGACUUAGGAUUAUCCCAUUUGUGUUUCUAUUAUAAAUAUUUUUGUUUUA